rnacentral:rRNA from 14 species
AGGUUCUAACUCUGUCCCGUGAUCCGGGACGAGGACCGUGUCUGGUGGGUAGUUUGACUGGGGCGGUCUCCUCCCAAAGCGUAACGGAGGAGCACGAAGGUUGGCUAAUCCUGGUCGGACAUCAGGAGGUUAGUGCAAUGGCAUAAGCCAGCUUAACUGCGAGACAGACACGUCGAGCAGGUACGAAAGUAGGUCAUAGUGAUCCGGUGGUUCUGUAUGGAAGGGCCAUCGCUCAACGGAUAAAAGGUACUCCGGGGAUAACAGGCUGAUACCGCCCAAGAGUUCAUAUCGACGGCGGUGUUUGGCACCUCGAUGUCGGCUCAUCACAUCCUGGGGCUGAAGUCGGUCCCAAGGGUAUGGCUGUUCGCCAUUUAAAGUGGUACGCGAGCUGGGUUUAGAACGUCGUGAGACAGUUCGGUCCCUAUCUUCCGUGGGUGUAGGAUAUUUGAGAAGAGUUGCCCCUAGUACGAGAGGACCGGGGUGAACGAUCCACUGGUGGAUCUGUUGUCGUGCCAACGGCAGUGCAGAGUAGCUAUGAUCGGACAGGAUAACCGCUGAAGGCAUCUAAGCGGGAAGCCCCCCUCAAAACAAGGUAUCCCUGAGGACCGAGGUAGACCACCUCGUCAAUAGGCCAGAGAUGUAAGCGUGGUAACACGUUCAGUUGACUGGUACUAAUCGCCC